GAGUUAGUGUUCUCGUGGUACAUGUAGCAAAUAUUAAUGUGCAGACACACAUUCAAAAUGUGUUUUUGUUGUUGGCCUUAGUUUUUUUGCAGAAAUCGACCUGCUUUGUAUGAGCAGACAGUUCAACUCCAUCAGGUAUCAUUAACUGUUGUUUUUUUGUGUUAACAUCGCCUACCAGGGGGGCUGUAGUGCUGCAUUAGUAUGCACCCUGGGCCAAUGAAGAUGCAGAGAGCCAGAGAGACGCCUUUAUUCUCCCCGUAGCUUCAGCUUGCUGGACUUGUAGCGUGAUGCCAACGGUGCAUCUCGCUCGACAGUCUCGAUGAGUACUUUAAGGCCAGGUGGAAAUGACGCGUUCCUGCUAACUCUUCAGUGAGACCAUCAUGGAGGUUAGAUGGGGUCCUCCAGGCGAGGGCGCAUCCACAGAUGUGACACUGUAAUAGGAAGUAGUCCCAUUAAGAAGGUCAGACAGAUGUCAAGCGGUCCGCCCUUUGGUCACAAGGCUUAUCGAUUUCAGAAGGCAGGAAAAUCCAUUUGAGCCAAGGUGUUGUUGCUCAAUUUUGGGGGUUUAUCUUACAAUGAUGUGUGCUUCGCAUCUAAUUCUGAGCUUCUAAUGAUGUGAUCUUUCAUUCUGAUGAGUUAUAAUACAGUUAAAUGCAAUACACUCUAAUUACGAUGACGAGCAGGAGUAUCUGUGCACAGUAUUUACAUGUAGCACUUGGGCGCAACAACCUCAAUUUUUACCUGGAAAUUGUCAAAACUGUGUUGUUAGUUGUACAAAAUAAUGUGUGACAAUGUUUUAUUUUUAAGAGUAGGAAACAAAUACUGGCACGCCAUUUAAUAAUAGUAGAUCAUAUUAGCACACAUCCAUGCUACUUCAUUUGGUUUGUAAUUAAAUAAAAGAUAGACAACUUGAUGGAUAUUUAAAUACUAGUUUUUGAAUGUGGUGAUUUCUAAACCCUAUUAAUGGUUCUUCCUCUGAUUUCAAUUACAUCCUCAACCCUUUCUGCAUUAAAAUGACAUGUUUGACAAGCUUUUACGCUCAUAUUUAAAUAAGACUCUCAUUAAAAAGAUUUGAGUUUCUUUAGAAAAACAGCUUAAUAGUCCCUACUUUAACAGAAUAAUUUAUUUUAGAAGGAAUUCAAAGCUUUUAAUGACGCUUUUGUGUUUGAAAAGUUCAUCACUGAGCUGAAGCACAAUGAAAGUUAAAUUCUACAAACAUUUUGAAUGUUGUGUCUGCAUUUCUAGACUAAUUUAGCAGAUUAUGCAGGAAUAACAACCUGCAUUCUAGUGAUAUGGAUCACUGUACACACUCAUUUGGCUUCAUCACCAUCGUGGGAAAUAAAUCCUCCGUAGAAGAUGCAGGCAGCCGGUUGUCGCUGCUGCAGGCAGCAGGUCGGGACGGAUUAUGUAAACUGCACGAGUCCUUUAGAUGCUGUUUAGUUUCCACUAAGUGUCUCUUAAAAAUCUCCAGGCGGUUACGUUUUUUUUCCCAGAGAAAUCGUGGAAAACAGUUACAUGAUUUGGGCUUUAGAAUUCUGUGGGUUGUGUUUUGCUCAAAGAACCCUCACGCACGUUGUUUACCGAGAAAGAACAAGGAUGACAUUAAAUGAAGCUUAGGCGAAAAUUCAGUCAGGAAGACUGGACAGGCUGUGCCGUUCCCUGGGGGCCUCCUCUCUCCCUGGGGGGGCACGGCCAGCUGAUUAGGGGCGGGGUCGGGAAGUAUCAGACGGGUGUCGUUACUGUAAACCAAUCGCAUUGGCGCAGGCAAACGUUAAAAACUGUUCUCCUCUCUUUUGCUUGUCUUUGGACUGUGGGAGGAGAGAACUCACGCAGACACGGGAGGAACGUACAGCCUCCGCAUAGGACGGCCACCGUGCCGCCUCACUUCAUGGUACACAAAUUCAACAUCGGUAUAACUGUA
ensembl:lncRNA